UACGUAGGGGGCUAGCGUUGUCCGGAAUCAUUGGGCGUAAAGCGCGUGUAGGCGGUCCGGUAAGUCCGCUGUGAAAGUCGGGGGCUCAACCCUCGAAUGCCGGUGGAUACUGUCGGGCUAGAGUGCGGAAGAGGCGAGUGGAAUUCCUGGUGUAGCGGUGAAAUGCGCAGAUAUCAGGAGGAACACCAAUUGCGAAGGCAGCUCGCUGGGACGUUACUGACGCUGAGGCGCGAAGGCGUGGGGAGCGAACGGG
rnacentral:rRNA from 1 species